AUUGAACGCUGGCGGCAGGCCUAACACAUGCAAGUCGAGCGGAUGAAUGGGGCUUUCUCUUGGCUUCAGUGGCGGACGGGUGAGUAAUGAAUAGGAAUCUGACUGGUCGUGGGGGCUAACGUCAGGAAACGGGCCCUCAUCCCGCAUCCGUCCUGAGGGUGAAACGGGGGGAUCUUCGGAGCACAACCGAUCUGCUGUGCCUAGGUCGAGUUAGCUAGUUGGUGGGGUAAAGGCCUACCAAGGCGACGAUCCGUAACUGAUCUGAGAGGCUGAUCCGCCACACUGGAACUGAGACACGGUCCAGACUCCUACGGGAGGCAGCAGUAGGGAAUAUUGAGCAAUGGGCGAAAGCCUGAUGGAGCCAUGCCGCGUGAGUGAUGAAGGUCUUCGGAUUGUAAAGCUCUUUUAGUGGGGAAGAAGAGCAGUAAAUUAAUACCCGCCUGUUUUGACGGUACCAACAGAAUAAGCACCGGCUAACUUCGUG
rnacentral:rRNA from 1 species